AAGACCUUGCGCUUUUGGAGCGGCCGAUGCCUGAUUAGCUAGUUGGUGGGGUAAUGGCCUACCAAAGCUUCGAUCAGUAGCUGGUCUGAGAGGACGGCCAGCCACACUGGGACUGAGACACGGCCCAGACUCCUACGGGAGGCAGCAGUGGGGAAUUUUGGACAAUGGGCGCAAGCCUGAUCCAGCCAUGCCGCGUGAGUGAAGAAGGCCUUCGGGUUGUAAAGCUCUUUCAGCCGGAAAGAAAAGGCUGCGACUAAUAAUCGCAGUUCAUGACGGUACCGGAAGAAGAAGCACCGGCUAACUACGUGCCAGCAGCCGCGGUAAUACGUAGGGUGCGAGCGUUAAUCGGAAUUACUGGGCGUAAAGGGUGCGCAGGCGGUUUUGUAAGUCAGAUGUGAAAUCCCCGGGCUUAACCUGGGAACU
rnacentral:rRNA from 1 species